UACGUAGGGCGCAAGCGUUAUCCGGAAUUAUUGGGCGUAAAGAGCUCGUAGGCGGUUUGUCGCGUCUGCCGUGAAAGUCCGGGGCUCAACUCCGGAUCUGCGGUGGGUACGGGCAGACUAGAGGUAGGCAGGGGAGAGCGGAACUCCUGGUGUAGCGGUGGAAUGCGCAGAUAUCAGGAAGAACACCGGUGGCGAAGGCGGCGCUCUGGAACGUUACUGACGCUGAGACACGAAAGCGUGGGGAGCAAACAGG
rnacentral:rRNA from 1 species